GAUGAACGCUAGCUACAGGCUUAACACAUGCAAGUCGAGGGGAAACGACAUCGUAAGCUUGCUUUUGAUGGGCGUCGACCGGCGCACGGGUGAGUAACGCGUAUCCAACCUGCCCACCACUUGGGGAUAACCUUGCGAAAGUAAGACUAAUACCCAAUGAUAUCUCUAGAAGACAUCUGAAAGAGAUUAAAGAUUUAUCGGUGAUGGAUGGGGAUGCGUCUGAUUAGCUUGGUGGCGGGGUAACGGCCCACCAAGGCAACGAUCAGUAGGGGUUCUGAGAGGAAGGUCCCCCACAUUGGAACUGAGACACGGUCCAAACUCGUACGGGAGGCAGCAGUGAGGAAUAUUGGUGAAUGGACGAGAGUCUGAACCAGCCAAGUAGCGUGCAGGAAGACGGCCCUAUGGGUUGUAAACUGCUUUUAUAAGGGAAUAAAGUGAGUCUCGUGAGACUUUUUGCAUGUACCUUAUGAAUAAGGACCGGCUAAUUCCGUG
rnacentral:rRNA from 1 species